CUUAGACAUAUAGAUAGAAUAGGUAGUUACAGUUGGGGAUCCGCAUGUCUAGCCUAUCUCUAUAGUUUGUUGUGCAAAAACUCCCACAAAGACACAUCUACAUUUUCUGGAUGUGCUGUUUUGCUACAAGCAUGGGGAUGGUCAAGACUACCGUCUCUAGCACCGGUCAAUAACAACCCCUUCACUUUUCCAUAUGCAAAAAAAUGGUCGGCACGUGGUAUGAAUUACAGCAGAUGUCCGAGACACUGUAUUACUCAGUAUCGCAACCUGUUGGAUCACCUUCGACCGACAGACUUCAUUUGGCGUCCAUACCUUAAUAUGGAUCAUGAGCAUCAGGUCAACCCUGAAGACGCAGCCGUAUGGACAGCAUGCACACCGAUAAUACGGUUCACAACAGUGGAGAUGCACAACACCGAUCGUGUGAAGCUGCAGUUCGGUAUGGUCCAGAAUAUCCCAGACCCCCCAGCUAGCC